CUGCUCACUUGGGCAGCACAUACACUGAAAUUGGAACAAUACAGAGAUUAGCAUGGCCCCAUGCAAGGAUGACACGUAAAUUUGUGAAGCGUUCCAUAUUUUA